UACGAAGGGUGCAAGCGUUACUCGGAAUUACUGGGCGUAAAGCGUGCGUAGGUGGUUUGUUAAGUCAGAUGUGAAAUCCCCGGGCUCAACCUGGGACCUGCAUUGGAUACUGGCAAGCUAGAGUACGGUAGAGGGUGGUGGAAUUCCCGGUGUAGCAGUGAAAUGCGUAGAGAUCGGGAGGAACACUCGUGGCGAAGGCGGCUAACUGGACCAUUCUUGACGCUGAGGUACGAAAGCGUGGGGAGCAAACAGG
rnacentral:rRNA from 1 species